UAGGGAAUCUUCCACAAUGGACGCAAGUCUGAUGGAGCAACGCCGCGUGAGUGAAGAAGGUUUUCGGAUCGUAAAGCUCUGUUGUUGGUGAAGAAGGAUAGAGGCAGUAACUGGUCUUUAUUUGACGGUAAUCAACCAGAAAGUCACGGCUAACUACGUGCCAGCAGCCGCGGUAAUACGUAGGUGGCAAGCGUUGUCCGGAUUUAUUGGGCGUAAAGCGAGCGCAGGCGGAAUGAUAAGUCUGAUGUGAAAGCCCACGGCUCAACCGUGGAACUGCAUUGGAAACUGUCAUUCUUGAGUGCAGAAGAGGAGAGUGGAAUUCCAUGUGUAGCGGUGGAAUGCGUAGAUAUAUGGAAGAACACCAGUGGCGAAGGCGGCUCUCUGGUCUGCAACUGACGCUGAGGCUCGAAAGCAUGGGUAGCGAACAGG
rnacentral:rRNA from 1 species